AUUCAACAGGACGUAGAAACAUGGAGACUCACACGGAGGAGCGACGGCGUCGGGCUGCACAAUGGUCUAUUUGUCGAGAUCGACACACGACACCGGUGGAAACAAAAGACACGACAUGUUGAUCAGACACAAACUUCUUCUUCAAGCGACGAACCAUUUUCUCCAGAUACUGUCGAUCCGGUUCCUGCGACGUUCCUGCUCUCGGUGACGCUGGGUCCGUGAACUGGGAGGCGAUGUUCCCGGUGCGGUCGACGUGGCCACACUUGGAUCAGAAAACUGGAAGAACUAGAUGAAAACUACAAACCACAGCGAAUCGUCUCAUCACUGUCGUCUUUUGAGUCUUCCGUUUUUAAAGGCUCCACGGCAACAGCUGAACUUCCCAUGGUUUUAUUCAAAUGUCAGUUGUUGUUUUUUAACCUUUUGUUUUGCUGAAGGUUCAAGAUUCAAGAUUCUUUGAUGAAUCAUGAAAUUUUCUUUCACACAUCCACCAGUCGAAGGGAGCGAACGGAGCAUUAUUUAAGGACAAGCGUUUUUUGCCGUGGAGGCAGACAGAAGCAGAGAAGGUCCCGAACCCACAACCCUUAAUUACCUCACCAGUGACGCACGCGAGCGCCUCUGAAGGACGCCGCGCCGACAGAGCGAACUUGUCCAAGUGUGGUAUGUUAUUUACCGAUCCAGUGAACUCGGAGCGGCGCCUUUGUCCCGAGGGUUCAAAAGAAA